rnacentral:rRNA from 1 species
CCUACGGGAGGCAGCAGUGAGGAAUAUUGGUCAAUGGACGAGAGCCUGAACCAGCCAAGCCGCGUGAAGGAAGAAGGCUCUAUGGUUUGUAAACUUCUUUUAUACGGGAGUAAAGGGAGGAACGCGUUACUGUUUGUAAGUACCAUAUGAAUAAGCAUCGGCUAACUCCGUGCCAGCAGCCGCGGUAAUACGGAGGAUGCGAGCGUUAUCCGGAUUUAUUGGGUUUAAAGGGUGCGUAGGCGGUCAAUUAAGUUAGAGGUGAAAUCCUGCGGCUCAACCAUAGAAUUGCCUUUGAAACUGUUCUGCUUGAGUAUAGUUGAGGUAGGCGGAAUGUGUGGUGUAGCGGUGAAAUGCUUAGAUAUCACAUAGAACACCGAUAGCGAAGGCAGCUUACCAGACUGCGACUGACGUUGAGGCACGAAAGCGUGGGUAGCAAACAGGAUUAGAUACCCUGGUAGUC